UUCCGGGUUCGGGCCUGUCGCUGUGGUAGAGGCGGCGGCGCCGGGGGUGGCCGGUAGGGACUCGGGCUACAAGAGUAGGGGCUCCGGGCAUGGACGUUUCGGGGCAGGAGACCGACUGGCGUAGCGCCGCCUUUCGGCAGAAGCUGGUCAGCCAAAUUGAGGAUGCCAUGAGGAAAGCUGGUGUGGCCCACAGUAAAUCUAGCAAGGAUAUGGAGAGUCAUGUGUUCCUGAAGGCCAAGACCCGGGAUGAGUAUCUUUCCCUUGUGGCCCGACUCAUUAUCCAUUUCCGAGAUAUUCGUAAGUAUGAGUUUUUAUUUCGGGAUAAUUGUGGUUGCUUUGACAGGCCUGUUUUGUGACUGUGUAGUAGGGACACUCAAAGUAAGCCUUAGCACCUGAGUUAGAACAUUGCAUAUUUGCUGCUUCAGGAUUCCCUACCUUCCUAGGCCUCAAAUGUGGGACUCAAAGUGAUUAAAGUGGGCUGCUUUUCUCACUUAUCCAUUCCAUCUCCUUUGUUAAGAUUUAACAUUUGCCUCUGGGGAGCCCUUAAGUAAGCAGUUUACCUUGUAACAGGGGUUUAUUCCCUAAAAGUUGAUUUGAUUAAUCCUAGGAGGCCUGAACUGUGUGUUUCUAUGAAACUGGAAGUUUUUAAAGUUAGUUCCCGGGUCCCUGCUCCCUCUCUUUGCUGUGCUGAGGGUCCCCUUACUUCAACUCUUGAUUCCUCUGAUUCAGUGAGUACUAUUGUGGUGCUGUUAGCUGGCAGGCAGUUCCCUGACUUUUCAGAUGUGAGUUGCCAUAACCUCCUGGGGCAAGAUUCUUGGCACACUUAUGUUAGGCAGAGGUAUACAAGGGUUGGUAAACACUGAGUUCCAAUUUACAGUGCUCCUCCCUGUUGUAUAAGCACUAGACAGGCUUAUUUUGAUGGCCUCAUCCUAAUUCCUGCAUGGUUUGGGGACAGAAUAUAGGUAGUUGUUGCAGUCACAGCUUCAGUGUCAGGCCACUGAGAGCUCAGUGACCUUGGCUCCACACGACCUUUUAGAAAAAUAUUAUUUUAUUAUUUAUUAAAUUAUGUGUUUGUCUGUGGGGGGGUGGGUUACGCGCAUGUGAGUACAGGUGCCCAUGGAGCCCAGAGGCAGCAGGUGCCCUGGAUCUGGAGCUACAGGCAAUUGUGAGGUGCCAGGUAUGGGUGUUGGGAACCAAACUCUGGUCUGCUGCUAGUGGAGUGCAUUCUUAGCCAGGUGUGAUGGCUCAGACCUUAAGUCCCAGCACUCCAGGAGGCAGAGGCAGAGGCAGUGUAAGUUUGAGGCCAGCCAGAAAUACACAAUGAGAUCCUGUCUCAAAAUAAAGAAAAAGAGCAAUUCAUGUUCUUAAACAGUGUCAUAGUGUCUACUGUUCUGAUAAACACAUGACCAAGAGUAACUUGAGGAGGAGAGCAUUAUUCUGUCUUUCAGUUCCAGGUAACAUCAUUAUUGAGAACAUCAGGGCAGGUACUAAAGCAGAAGCCAUAGAUGAGUCCUGCCUACUGGCUGGCUCUCAAGACUGGCUCAGCCUGCUGUCUGCUGUCUUAAAGCAUCCAGGACCACCAGCUCAGGGGUGGCACUGUGCAUAGUGAGGUGGGCCCUUCCAUAUUAAUCAUCAAUCUCAAUCAAGAAAAUGGUAUCACUGGUUUGCCCACAGGCCAGUCUAAUUGGGGGCACUUUCUCAAUUGAGGUUCCUCCUCCCAAAACAAAACAAAAUGACUACCUUGUGUGCCAACUUGACACAAUACUAGCCAGCACAAACGUUGAACUGUCUCUCCAGCCCAAUUCCACAGUUAAUUUUUUACCACAAUGGCCAGCGAGGUAGACUCCAUAAGAACUUAGGACAUGUAGGGGAAGAGAAAGCCUUAAGAGAGUCUAUACAGCAGUCAGCUGGAUCUCCUGGCAUGGAUUUCCACGCCCAGCUCUUUAGGAUGGUGGCCUGAGAUACACACAGCCCACAAGCUCAUGUGCAAGGACUAAGUAGGAGGCUCCUGACCACCAUUUGUUUGGGUACUCCUUCUGGGAGACAAGGUUCGUAGCCUUGAGCAACUUUAGAUAGCAACUUGUAGGUUGCCUCACUUAGAAAAUGAGAUAAUGCCACAAUAGAGUGACCUGAAAGUGGGGAUGCUUGAGUUCUCUCUCAGAGGUGUGCUUACAGCCCCAGCCUGGGUUCCUAUCACUCCUGUUUGUGAUUCAGGAUCUGAGUCCUGCAAGAAAGGAACAGCUCAGAGUCUCCAAGCUCAGGAUGUACUAGCCUUGGGCACAGCUCACUGAGAUGGACCCCAAGUUUCUUUGCCCACGCUGCUUCCAGACUCCCUUUGUAUGCAACAGUGCUAGGAAUAGGUCUCUCCUCUCUAGUUAUUAGGGUACCAGUGGCUCCUUGGGAUUGAGGCUCUAGAUUCUGUUGACCUUGUUUCUAUGUAAGGUCAGCUUAGUUUUAGCCAAUGACCUCUGGUCAGCUACCUGCAGAACUGACCUACCCAGGGAAAAUGUGUGUUCAUGCAAAACUGUUUACUGCGGUUUUGUGUUUAUGUUUCUCUGUAGAUAACAAGAAAUCCCAAGCUUCUGUCAGUGGUAAGUCUUCCUUCUGAGGUACAGUUAUUUCCAAUCUCCAGUAUGGUGUGACAGAAAUGAGAUAGUGCCUGUGUGCAUGGGUCAGCUACAUAUUGGACAGGAGCAUUCCAAAGAUCUCAGGUGUGGUGGUACUGAUUACUGUUUCGCAGCAUCUGCUCCACAGUCUGAAGGCAAGCCAGUGCUUUUCCAUCCUGUUUUAUUUAGAAGGCUUUGCUGCGUUACCUAGGAGAACCACUGUGGCAUAGUAUAAUAACCCAUAGUAUUUUGUCACACAUAAAAGCUGUGGGAAUUCACUUUCUCUAUUUCACUCAUUUGGGGGAGGAGGGUGUGUGUUUUGAAACAUGUUCUCUGUAUGUAUCCCUGGCUGUCCUGGAACACUUCAUUGAUCAGGCUGGCAUCAAAUCAAUAGAGAUCUAUCUCCAAUGCCUACCAGGGGCUGAGACAAAAGAUGUGUACCACUAUAGCCAACUGUAUUCACUUUCUUUUUGUUGUUGCUUUGGUUUUUCUGUGUAGCCCUGGCUGUCCUGACACUCGCCCUGUAGUCCAGAUUGGCUUUGAACACAGGAUCCACCUGCCUCUGCCUCUUGAGUGCUGGGAUUAAAGGCAUACACAACCAUUACCCAACAUUUUCACUUUCUUAAGUUACAAAAUUGUUUAUGAGUUCAGAAAUCUUUCUAUUUUAAUUUCAAGGUUUAUCAUAUAAGGGAAAUUGUGUCCAUUCAAUUGAAACCUGGACUUUGCUUUCUGAGCUGCCUUCAUAGGAUUUGCCAAUCUACUCUGGCCAGCUGAUCCUCAGCCUGUCAGAAAGAUUGUGAGGUUCUGAGAGAGAGUGCUUGCCUAUCGUGUGCAGGGUACUGAGCUCUGUCUGCAGAACCACCACCAUC
rnacentral:lncRNA from 1 species